UGGCCACCCAUGGACCAAUCAGCAUGCACUUCCUCCCUUCUGAACCCAUAAAAACCCCGCUCCCCGGACGCAGCCGGAGUCACGCGAAGUCGGAAGUACCAGCUGCGGGAAGGAGCUGCCCACUGUGCGUCUUCUCAACUUGUUGGGACAACCUUCCUGCGGAAAGGAGAGACAACCUUCCUGCAGAAAGGAGCUACCUGCUUCAGGUCUACUGAGAGCUGUUCUGCCACUCAAUAAAGCUCUUCUCCAUCUUGCUAAGCCUCCAUUUGUCCGCAAUACCUCAUCUCCCUGGACGCAGGACAAGAACUCAGGACCCGCCUGGAGGACUGACAUUCAGACGUGGAGCAAGUUGGACUGCAUAGGGACCCACCAGUGAGAUGGACGCUGUCUGUAAACGGUUCUCCAGGGAGGCUGCUCUGCCAAGUCUGGUAUUUCAUGAAUAGAUCUGAAAACAGACAUUAUCUCUUCUCCCAGUGAAGAGAGAGCGAUGAAGCCUCAGGACAAAAGGAGGCAGUGGGAUGAUGCCACCAAGGGACCAUUCUGAAGAGCCAUCAGCAAAAAGCAGCCACACCUGCUUAUGUGGCUCUGGGACAAAUGAUCUGAGCCGUGACGUGGAACUUAGAUGCAGUAAAGUCCAUUGUAUUGAGCCUUCUCUGGCACUCCUCCCAAAACAGAGAGACAACAGUUCUGUUAUGUUUUGUUUGGUUUGGUCUCCCUCAACUCAUCAAUGAGCCUUUUUAAAAAGAAUAAUUCGGUACUUUCUUUAAAGGUGGUAGAAUUGGCUCUUACUCUAGUCUGUUUUCUCCUUCCUAAGGGAGGAGCAUCCUUCUUGUUAACACAGAACCCCAAACUAUCUGAUCAGAAAGAAAAUAAUUCAAUCUGCUGUUUGAAUUGACUUCCAGCAGCGUCUUAAAUUUUAAUUGGCCCCCGGCCUAAAACAACCUCAAACUGUAUGUCUUCCAUACUCCUCUCACCACCACCAUCACCACUGCCCCUACAACCACUCUAAGCAUAGUACAUAUGGUGAACAUACCAUGAUAUUGAAUGCUAUUCUCACUCUGCCUUCUCUUAAUCUGAUCUUACUCAGGUUCUGACAGUUGACGCUGAAAACAUUUUUUGUUGUUGUUGUGGUUGAGACAGAGUUUCGCACUUGUUGCCCAGGCUGGAGUACAGUGGUGCGAUCUCGGCUCACUGCAACCUCCGCCUCCCGGGUUCAAGUGAUUCUCCUGCCUCAGCUCCCCAAGUAGCUGGGAUUACAGGCAUGUGCCACCAUGCCUGACUAAGUUUGUAUUUUUAGUAGAGACGGGGUUUCUCCAUGUUGGUCAGGCUGAUCUCGAACUCCCGACCUCAGGUGAUCCGCCUGCCUCGGCCUCCCAAAGUGCUGGGAUUACUGGUGUGAGCCACCAUGCCCGGCCAUGACACUGAAAACAUUUUAAAGGAGAAACAGAUUACCAAUUAUCCAUAAAGAUGAGAAUUAUCUGGCAACAUUUUGGUUAGAUGAAAACUGUGACUAGAGAGCUAACAAAAACAAACACAAUGAGCACUAGAUAUCUGCCAGGCAUUGUUCACAGCCCCUUUUUUGGUCUCAUCUGAUCCUUGCUGUAGAUCAGGAAUCAACAAACUAAGCUUUCACCACUUGUCAGGGGUAAAGCCAUGUCAGUCUGAGUCCCAAUGCCACACUGUUAGCCACUCUCCCACACCACCUGCUCCAACUAUUUGAAGAAGGAGAAUGUUUUUCCAGUUAAUAAAGUUAAUAGUUAAAAACUGAAGGAUGCUCUUUGUUUUUUAACUUUUAUUAUUAACCAAAACUUGAAAAUAUAUAUCCUCCCCCAGUGAUACCUCUAUUUAGAAUAUUAGAAUGGAUAUUUGGUACUUAGCCUUCUAUUUUCCUGGAUGAGUAAUAUUUUGAGGCCUGUGCAGUUGUUUAAGAUACAGAUCAUUCUGUCUCAUACCAAGAGGGAGUUUCCAUGCUCUUCUGUGUUGGGCUGGCCUUGUAAGUUUAUUUUAAUAUGGUAUUAGCAUCCAUCGUCACCACUAAUUGCUGUUUACUAAGGAAUCACACAGUGCCUGCCGUGUACAUCAGAAACACACUUGACUGAGCUUACUCUUCACUAGGAAGCAGGAGGCAAAAAUAUGAAUUAGCUUCUUUUUAUGCAUGUGAAGAUGCUUGUCUGUCUUUACUACUUCCCAGGAAUACUGCCAGUGAGGAAUGCUCUGGAAUUCUAAUCUAUUAGUACUGAAUAACAUAAUAAAACUGACAUGAAUACAAAUGACAAGGUGUAGUUUACACAUCCUGGUAUUAAUCUCAAGAGCCUGAGCACUCACAUGAA
rnacentral:lncRNA from 10 species